rnacentral:rRNA from 1 species
AACGAACGCUGGCGGCAGGCCUUACACAUGCAAGUCGAGCGAAGUCUUCGGACUUAGCGGCGGACGGGUGAGUAACGCGUGGGAACGUGCCCAAAGGUACGGGAUAGUCGAUGGAAACGUCGCUUAAUACCGUAUGUGCCCUUCGGGGGAAAGAUUUAUCGCCUUUGGAUCGGCCCGCGUCUGAUUAGGUAGUUGGUGAGGUAACGGCUCACCAAGCCGACGAUCAGUACCUGGUUUGAGAGGAUGAUCAGGCACACUGGGACUGAGACACGGCCCAGACUCCUACGGGAGGCAGCAGUGGGGAAUCUUGGACAAUGGGGGCAACCCUGAUCCAGCCAUGCCGCGUGGACGAUGAAGGCCUUAGGGUUGUAAAGUCCUUUCGACGGGGACGAUAAUGACGGUACCCGUAGAAGAAGCCCCGGCUAACUUCG